CCGGCACGGGUGAGUAACACGUAUCCAACCUGCCGUCUACUCUUGGCCAGCCUUCUGAAAGGAAGAUUAAUCCAGGAUGGGAUCAUGAGCUCACAUGUCCGCAUGAUUAAAGGUAUUUUCCGGUAGACGAUGGGGAUGCGUUCCAUUAGAUAGUAGGCGGGGUAACGGCCCACCUAGUCAACGAUGGAUAGGGGUUCUGAGAGGAAGGUCCCCCACAUUGGAACUGAGACACGGUCCAA
rnacentral:rRNA from 1 species